rnacentral:tRNA from 1 species
UAACUCAGUGGUAGAGCAUUUGCCUAGUGUGCAAAAGGUCCUGGGUUCAACUCCAAG